AUACGGAGGAUGCGAGCGUUAUCCGGAUUUAUUGGGUUUAAAGGGUGCGCAGGCGGCCAUUUAAGUCAGCGGUUAAAUCGUGGGGCUCAACCCCAUUCUGCCGUUGAUACUGGGUGGCUUGAUUGCGGUCGAGGUUGGCGGAAUUCGUUGUGUAGCGGUGAAAUGCAUAGAUAUGACGAAGGACACCGAUUGCGUAGGCAGCUGACCAGACCGCAAAUGACGCUCAUGCACGAAAGUGCGGGGAUCGAACAGGAUUAGAUACCCUGGUAGUCCGCACAGUAAACGAUGAAUACUUGUUUUCGGCGAUAUAAUGUCGGAGGCAAAGCGAAAGCGAUAAGUAUUCCACCUGGGGAGUACGCCGGCAACGGUGAAACUCAAAGGAAUUGACGGGG
rnacentral:rRNA from 1 species